rnacentral:rRNA from 1 species
UGGGGAAUAUUGCACAAUGGGCGCAAGCCUGAUGCAGCCAUGCCGCGUGUAUGAAGAAGGCCUUCGGGUUGUAAAGUACUUUCAGUCGGGAGGAAGGUGGUAAGGUUAAUAACCUUAUCAAUUGACGUUACCGACAGAAGAAGCACCGGCUAACUCCGUGCCAGCAGCCGCGGUAAUACGGAGGGUGCAAGCGUUAAUCGGAAUUACUGGGCGUAAAGCGCACGCAGGCGGUUGAUUGAGUCAGAUGUGAAAUCCCCGGGCUUAACCCGGGAAUUGCAUCUGAUACUGGUCAGCUAGAGUCUUGUAGAGGGGGGUAGAAUUCCAUGUGUAGCGGUGAAAUGCGUAGGGAUGUGGAGGAAUACCGGUGGCGAAGGCGGCCACCUGGACGAAGACUGACGCUCAGGUGCGAAAGCGUGGGGAGCAAACAGG